UACAGAGGUCUCAAGCGUUUGUUCGGGUUCAUUGGGCGUAAAGGGUGCGUAGGUGGUGAUGCAAGUCUGGUGUGAAAUCUCGGAGCUCAACUCCGAAAUUGCACCGGAUACUGCGUGACUCGAGGACUGUAGAGGAGAUCGGAAUUCACGGUGUAGCAGUGAAAUGCGUAGAUAUCGUGAGGAAGACCAGUUGCGAAGGCGGAUCUCUGGGCAGUUCCUGACACUGAGGCACGAAGGCCAGGGGAGCAAACGGG
rnacentral:rRNA from 1 species